UACGGAAGGCAGCAGUGGGGAAUAUUGCACAAUGGGCGCAAGCCUGAUGCAGCCAUGCCGCGUGUAUGAAGAAGGCCUUCGGGUUGUAAAGUACUUUCAGUCGUGAGGAAGGUGUUAAGGUUAAUAACCUUAGCAAUUGACGUUAGCGACAGAAGAAGCACCGGCUAACUCCGUGCCAGCAGCCGCGGUAAUACGGAGGGUGCGAGCGUUAAUCGGAAUUACUGGGCGUAAAGGGCACGCAGGCGGUUAAUUAAGUUGGAUGUGAAAUCCCCGGGCUUAACCUGGGAAUGGCAUUCAAGCUGGUUAGCUAGAGUCUUGUAGAGGGGGUAGAAUUCCAUGUGUAGCGGUGAAAUGCGUAGAGAUGUGGAGGAAUACCGGUGGCGAAGGCGGCCCCUGGACAAGACUGACGCUCAUGUGCGAAAGCGUGGGGAGCAAAC
rnacentral:rRNA from 1 species